UUCCCCUAGUAACUGCGAGUGAAGCGGGAAAAGCUCAAAUUUGAAAUCUGGCGGUUUUUGACUGUCCGAGUUGUAAUCUAGAGAAGUGUUACCUGUGCUGGACCGUGUAAAAGUCUUCUGGAAUGGAGCAUCAUAGAGGGUGAGAAUCCCGUCUUUGACACGGACUACCUGUACAUCAUGGUGCGCUCUCGAAGAGUCGAGUUGUUUGGGAAUGCAGCUCAAAAUGGGUGGUAAAUGCCAUCUAAAGCUAAAUAUUGGCGAGAGACCGAUAGCGAACAAGUACCGUGAGGGAAAGAUGAAAAGAACUUUGGAAAGAGAGUUAAACAGUACGUGAAAUUGCUGAAAGGGAAACGCUUGAAGUCAGUCGCGUUGGCUAGAAAUCAGCCCUUGCUUUUGCUUGGUGUAUUUUCCGGUCGACGGGUCAGCAUCAAUUUCGACCAUUGGAUAAAGUCAUUGGGAAUGUGGCAUCUUUUGGAUGUGUUAUAGCCCAUUGUCGUAUACGGUGGUUGGGAUUGAGGAACUCAGCAUGCCGCAAGGCCAGGUUUCGACCAUGUUUUCAUGCUUAGGAUGCUGGCAUAAUGGCUUUAAUCGACCCGUCUUGAAACACGGACCAAGGAGUCUAACAUGCCUGCGAGUGUUUGGGUGGAAAACCCAUGCGCGCAAUGAAAGUGAAAGUUGAGAUCCCUGUAGAGGGGAGCAUUGACGCCCGGACCAGAGCUUUUGUGACGGAUCCGCGGUAGAGCAUGUAUGUUGGGACCCGAAAGAUGGUGAACUAUGCCUGAAUAGGGUGAAGCCAGAGGAAACUCUGGUGGAGGCUCGUAGCGAUUCUGACGUGCAAAUCGAUCGUCAAAUUUGGGUAUAGGGGCGAAAGACU
rnacentral:rRNA from 1 species